GCCUAGAUAGCUCAGUUAGGAGAAGAGCGUUAGACUGAAGAUCUAAAGGUCCCCGGUUCGAUCCCAGGUCUGGGCA